GGAUAAUACAUCGUGAACAUAUGCGUCUUAAGUCUAGAUCGAAAUUGAGCAACUGUUUCUGAACACUUUAUUUUGUCAGAAAUAUCAGACGAAUUAGUGGCAGCAGAUAUAAUGGUGUAUAGCCCGGCUGUUUGUGAAGCAGUAUACGGUAUAGAGUUUAAUGAAACCGGUCCCAUGAAAUCACUAACCACCUGUGCGAAGGCUGUGAAUCCAGAAACCAAUGUCUGUCUGGGUGAUAAUGGUGGAAUGGUGGUGUGUAAAAAUGACCAAGGUAAAUGGACACUAGAGGGUUUAAUAAACAGACCAAACCAUGAACAAUGUGAUCCCGGUAGUCUGUUUCUCGUCUCUUACGUAAAACCAGCCAUGGAAUGGAUUAAAUCGG